CUGAGGAUAAAUGGUGCAUGCAUUCAUGCUCCUGGUGUGCUGCCUCCCACAGAUGUAGUUGUGUUUGAGCUGAUGUAUUACAUUUGCCUGAGUGCCUGGCAAUGAAGAUUCCUGAAGAACAGUGUCGAGAGAAGCUUGUCUUGGCAGACAUGUAGAAAAGCAGAGAAAAAUAAGCUUCCAUUGGAUGUAGCUGAAGGUUUCACACCAUGAGAGAAAAUGCCAGCCAGAUAUGAUUGGGCUACAAAGAUAAGAGUGUCCAUCAAAUGGAACUCUCAAGUGAUACACGAGCAUGUUAGGG